rnacentral:rRNA from 1 species
GACGAACGCUGGCGGCGCGCCUAAUACAUGCAAGUAGAACGCUGAAGGAGGAGCUUGCUUCUUCGGAUGAGUUGCGAACGGGUGAGUAACGCGUAGGUAACCUGCCUGGUAGCGGGGGAUAACUAUUGGGAACGAUAGCUAAUACCGCAUAACAGUAGAUGUUGCAUGACAUUUGCUUAAAAGGUGCAAUUGCAUCACUACCAGAUGGACCUGCGUUGUAUUAGCUAGUUGGUGGGGUAACGGCUCACCAAGGCGACGAUACAUAGCCGACCUGAGAGGGUGAUCGGCCACACUGGGACUGAGACACGGCCCAGACUCCUACGGGAGGCAGCAGUAGGGAAUCUUCGGCAAUGGACGGAAGUCUGGCCGAGCAACGCCGCGUGAGUGAAGAAGGUUUUCGGAUCGUAAAGCUCUGUUGUAAGAGAAGAACGAGUGUGAGAGUGGAAAGUUCACACUGUGACGGUAUCUUACCAGAAAGGGACGGCUAACUACGUGCCAGCAGCCGCGGUAAUACGUAGGUCUCGAGCGUUGUCCGGAUUUAUUGGGCGUAAAGCGAGCGCAGGCGGUUAGAUAAGUCUGAAGUUAAAGGCUGUGGCUUAACCAUAGUACGCUUUGGAAACUGUUUAACUUGAGUGCAAGAGGGGAGAGUGGAAUUCCAUGUGUAGCGGUGAAAUGCGUAGAUAUAUGGAGGAACACCGGUGGCGAAAGCGGCUCUCUGGCUUGUAACUGACGCUGAGGCUCGAAAGCGUGGGGAGCAAACAGG